CAGUGGCGCAUCAGGCAGGCGGACCCACUGGUUCCCUUCCCGAACACCAAAGUGAAACGCCUUCCCCGCCCACAAUACUGGAGGGGCAACCCCCCGGCAAGAUAGGCCGCACCAAACC
rnacentral:rRNA from 1 species